GCCUCGAUGGCACAGUGGUAGCGCGCAUCACUAGUAAUGAUGAGAUCGGCGGUUCGAUUCCGCCUCGAGGCA
rnacentral:tRNA from 1 species